CUCUUUUCUAAGAUCAAGAUGAACACACUGCAGAUGAGGACACGAGCCCCACAGGAGCUCUUUCUCCCGCAGGAGACCAGCAGACCCACGUCAGAGAGGAUGCUUGUAUCUUUUCAUGGCUCUUCUCUGAGAAAUGAAGCCACACCACAAUACGGUCUGGAAGAGGAAGCUGGGAAUGGGAGAUGGAAACAAUCCCUGUCAAUGGAACGCUGGCCUCUC
rnacentral:lncRNA from 1 species